rnacentral:rRNA from 1 species
CCUACGGGGGGGCUGCAGUGGGGAAUAUUGGACAAUGGGCGCAAGCCUGAUCCAGCCACGCCGCGUGAGUGAUGAAGGCCUUCGGGUCGUAAAGCUCUGUGGGGAGGGACGAACCGCCACCGGUUAAUACCCGGUGGCAUGACGGUACCUCCUUAGCAAGCACCGGCUAACUUCGUGCCAGCAGCCGCGGUAAUACGAAGGGUGCAAACGUUGCGCGGAACUAUCGGGCGUAAAGCGCAAGGUGGCGGCUGAAAUCCCUCGGCUCAACCAAGGAAGUGCUUUCGAAACUGCUGAGCUUGAGUACUUAAGAGGAUCGCGGAAUUCCCGGUGUAGAGGUGAAAUUCGUAGAUAUCGGGAGGAACACCAGUGGCGAAGGCGGCGAUCUGGGAAGAUACUGACGCUGAGGUGCGAAAGCGUGGGGAGCAAACAGGAUUAGAUACCCCUGUAGUC